GGGCGUGUCGGACCCCGCCCGCAGCGUCCCCUGCCCGGCGCCCGUCAUGGCGGCCACCCGCGCCCCGAAAAAAGCCGACCCCGCCCCGCCCCCCGCCAGCCCGGACAGGGUGCCUUCUGCUGAACCAGAGUUCGUUGCCAUGUGCUGUGCUUUACGGGUGACGGACAGCAUCAGAGCCGCAGCUUGGCAGCUGUACGAAAAAGUGCUAUGCACAUGCGGAAUUGUGGAAGGCCGUCUUAAAAAAGAAUUGUGGGGGAUCUGUAUCUUCAGCACAGCCGCCGACUUGGAUGAGAUGACGUUCACUUUUACAGAACUUCUGAAAUGUUUGGAUAUUAGCAUGUGUAAAUUUGUUCUUCUGGUUGAAGGAAUGGAGGACAGCAUGGAUGCAAUUAGCACAAAAGUACACAGUAUUCUGUUACGCUUAAAGAAGAAAUAUGACAUAUUGUUUGCCCUGUACCAGAAGUUUGAAAGGACUUGGGGACAGAUCUGUGUUGACCAGCCUGGUGAUCAAAAUUCUUCCGAAUUAAGUUCUUCAUCUGUUCUGAAAUUAUGCUGGAUCACAUUUCUAUUGGCAAAAGGGAAAGUAUUACCGGUGGAAGACGACCUGGUUAUUUCCUUCCAGCUGCUGCUUUGUGUUCUUGAUUAUUUUAUCAAGCUGUUGCCUCCUGCAGCACUCAAGGAACCAUACAAAUCUGCCAUCAGUGCUUUGUCUGCUAAUGGCUCAAUGCGCACUCCUAGACGUCAGAGCAGAAGUUUACGUGCAUCAAAACAAACUGAUACAGAUAUGAAGGUUAUUGAGGAGCUUUGCAAAGAACAUGGUUGUAAUUUGGAUGAGGUGAAAAAUGUUUACUUCACUAGUUUUAUUCCAUUCCUGAAUUCUGUGGGCAUCACAGCUUCCAGUGGACUUUCAGAGGUUGAGAGUAUAUCAAGCAAAUAUGAAGAAAUGUAUCUGAGCAGCAAGGAUAUCGAUGCCAGAUUGUUUCUGGAGAAUGAUGAAACUCUACAGGAUCACACAGAAUGUUUGCAGUUGGAGAGAACACCAACAAAAAACAAUGCUGAUGAAAAUCCCCCGGGUGCGCUUCCCCAGACCCCUGUCCGGGCUGCCAUGAAUACUAUUCAGCAGUUAAUGAUGAUGUUAAACUCAGCAAGUGAUGGACCGUCAGACAGCCUUGCCUCCUAUUUUAAUAACUGCACAGCAAAUCCUACGCAAGACGUAUUGGAAAGAGUGGAAAAUCUUAGUUGUGUCUUCAAACAGAAAUUUGCUGAAGCAAUUGGCCAAGGAUGUAUUGAAAUUGGAUCACAGAGGUACAGACUUGGAGUACGAUUAUACUACAGAGUGAUGGAAUCUAUCUUAAAAUCGGAAGAAAAACGACUGUCAAUUCACAACUUCAGCAAACUUUUGAACAACAACAUCUUCCAUGUCUCUUUGCUGGCCUGUGCUCUUGAAGUUGUUUUGGCGACGUAUGGCACCCUGAGGAAUGGUUUACUAAAUGACCGCAUGAUGAUGGAAACAGACUUGUCUUUCCCAUGGAUUAUCAAUAUACUUGACUUAAAGGCCUUCGACUUAUACAAGGUUAUUGAGAGCUUUAUUAAAGCAGAACCAAGCCUCACACGAGAAAUGAUAAAACACUUGGAAUGCUGUGAACACCGGAUCAUGGAAUCCCUCGCCUGGCAGUCAGAUUCACCGUUAUUUGAGCUCAUACAUCAGUCAAAGGAACGAGAUGGCCCGGCGGAUCCUCUUGAACCUUCUGGCUGCCUUGCCCAGCCUCCGCCGCAGAACCCCACUGCCACAGACUUAUAUCUCUCCCCGGGUUCAGUGUGCUCCGUUGUAAUUCCAGAUAUUCAGCCCGCGCUGCUAUACCAACCUCAGAGACCACAGAAAUCUACUUUUCUCUCACUUUUUUACAAAAAAGUGUACUGCCUAGCUUAUAUACGAUUGAAUAACUUGGCUUCACGUCUUCUCUCGGACCACCCGGACCUCAUACAAUUGAUCUGGACCCUUUUUCAUCAUACGCUGCAAACUGAAUAUGAACUUAUGAAAGACCGGCACUUAGACCAGAUUAUGAUGUGUGCAAUGUAUGGCAUAUGUAAAGUGAAGAACAUCGAUCUCACAUUUAAAACUAUUGUGACAGCGUACAAGGAACUCCCGAAUACGAACCAAGAGACUUUCAAGUGUGUUUUGAUCAGGGAAGGACAAUAUGAUUCCAUUAUAGUCUUCUACAACUUGGUGUUUAUGCAGAGAUUGAAAACUAACAUUUUGCAGUAUGCUUCCAAUAGACCUCCAACGUUAUCACCUAUACCACACAUUCCUCAGAGCCCUUACAAGUCUAAUUCUCCUCUGCGUGUUCCUGCGGGGAACAACAUCUACAUCUCACCUUUGAAAAGCCCCUCCAAGGCCUCUGAAAGGCUGCUGUCCCCCAACAAGAUGACCCCGGGGUCAAGGAUCUUGGUGUCAAUAGGUGAAUCCUUUGGAGUGACUGCUGAAAAAUUUCAGAAGAUAAACCAGAUGAUGUGCAACAGCGAUCGCCACCUGAAGCGUGGAGCAGAAGCGAGCCCUGGGCCCAAACCUCUGAAGAGGCUGCGCUUUGACAUGGAAGGGCAGGACGAAGCGGACGGCAGGGAGCAGCUCUCUGGAGAGUCGAAGUUCCAGCAGAAGCUUGCAGAAAUGACAUCCACUCGAACCAGGAUACAAAACCAGAAGCUAAAUGACGGAGCUGACAUUUCUACCCCUGAUCAAAAAUGAAAUCCCGGCAGCCUGUGACCACGGGCACUCUGCGCUUUGCAAACUCUCACCAGGCCCUUGACAUACAAAUCUUAGUUCCUUUUGUAACCAGUAGCUAAUUUGAGGUAGCUGGACUUUUUUACUUGUUUUUUCUGCAGAGAUUAUGCUAUUGAUGCAAUAUGUAUACAAUAUUAUCUACGUAAUUGUUUAUAUAAAUUAGGAUUUUUAAGUGAAAAUUUCUCCGCUUCCCAAUGUAGUAUUACUGGUUUGAUACAAUUUUACUCUAUUUAUACUGAACUCCUGUGUUUGGGGGAAAUUUGAAGUUUCAGUAGAAUUAGUCAGAAUGCACUAAUGUCAUUUUUAUAUUAGAAUUUGAUGCACUAUUUACUUUUCUAUAAAUUAGAUCCAAAUACUGCAGUGUUUAAAAAUACAGUUCCCUACCCCUGGUAUAGAACUUGACAGUGAGGUGUAAACUCAGUGUCUACACUUACUACUGAAACAAAAAAACCCUGUAUCUCGUUGACAUUUCUGUCUUUCCCCCUAUUAUAAUGUAAGAAAACAUGCACCUAUUUAUUUAUCAGCUAGCCUGGGUUGAAUUUCACUAAAUUAUUUCGAAAGCCAGAAUAGCAAUUCUUCCCUCUGCAGUACAGAAUUCUCAACGUGCCCUUUGCUUCUCUUCAUCAGGAGCAGGGGGAAAGAUUAAAAUGCUAUACAGAGUUAAUGGCUGUAGCUGCACUGGGUCCAUACGAAUCAGUACUGGGAUUGUGAACACUGAAUAUGUAAAGAAUGAGAAA